CAUGAGCAGGUAAACAAGUAGUUCUCCCUGAGUAUCUUGUUGCGGCUGUGUCUGCUCCGCUCCCUCUGACAGCAGUCUAAAUAACUGAUGCAGAUUUCCUCUCCUGCUUCGAUGUCCUCCAGAGCAGUCAAAUACAAAAGGAAGUUGUUGUCUGGGAAGGAUGUCUCAGCAUUGGGGAUGCAGCUGUGGUUACAGCAGCUCUGGAGCAUGUAGAGACCUGACCCCUCACAGUUGAGGAACUCUCCAGAUUCCUUCUCAAUGUCCUUGUAGAGCUGGUCAAUGAAGGCGUCCAGCUCUUCUCGUUGCAGCAUGGGGAGAUCCAGCGCAUCACAAGCAUGCACCCACUGGCUCAGAGAGCUGGUUCCUAUGCCUUGGCCAUUGGUCCCAACGAGAGCAAAGAGAGAUCGAAAGCCUUCUGGAGUGAACCACCUACUGAGUUGUUCGUCG
rnacentral:lncRNA from 1 species